rnacentral:rRNA from 1 species
UAGGGAAUCUUCGGCAAUGGGGGGAACCCUGACCGAGCAACGCCGCGUGAGUGAAGAAGGUUUUCGGAUCGUAAAGCUCUGUUGUUAAGGAAGAACGAGUGCGAGAAUGGAAAGUUCAUGCUGUGACGGUACUUAACCAGAAAGGGACGGCUAACUACGUGCCAGCAGCCGCGGUAAUACGUAGGUCCCGAGCGUUGUCCGGAUUUAUUGGGCGUAAAGCGAGCGCAGGCGGUUAGAAAAGUCUGAAGUGAAAGGCAGUGGCUCAACCAUUGUAGGCUUUGGAAACUGUUUAACUUGAGUGCAGAAGGGGAGAGUGGAAUUCCAGGUGUAGCGGUGAAAUGCGUAGAUAUAUGGAGGAACACCGGUGGCGAAAGCGGCUCUCUGGUCUGUAACUGACGCUGAGGCUCGAAAGCGUGGGGAGCGAACAGG